CUCUUGUGUACUUUACUUGUCAGUGAAGCCUGGGGGUCCCAAGUCCUCAGAUCUAAGGCUGCUCUUGGCCAUUUAGAUGCUGCUGCUGAUGCCACCUCCUCCAUGCAUUUCAUUUGCAGUGCCAGCAGGGAGGGAGAUUUGUGGGGUGAGACUGAGAGGCUAAGGGAGGAGAGAUGGGAGGAGAGAGCAGGCCAAGGCCACACUGUAGCACAGUUCACACCAAGAACAGCCCAUCCAGCCCUGCCCCACGUUGGUCUCAUGCCCCCACUGGAGACUCAUCCUGUGCCCCCACAC
rnacentral:lncRNA from 1 species